AAUAGAUACCCGGGUAGUCCACGCCGUAAACGAUGAGUGCUAAGUGUUAGAGGGUUUCCGCCCUUUAGUGCUGCAGCUAACACAUUAAGCACUCCGCCUGGGGAGUACGGUCGCAAGACUGAAACUCAAAGGAAUUGACGGGGGCCCGCACAAGCGGUGGAGCAUGUGGUUUAAUUCGAAGCAACGCGAAGAACCUUACCAGGUCUUGACAUCCCACUGACCGGUAUAGAGAUAUACCUUUCCCUUCGGGGACAGUGGUGACAGGUGGUGCAUGGUUGUCGUCAGCUCGUGUCGUGAGAUGUUGGGUUAAGUCCCGCAACGAGCGCAACCCUUGAUCUUAGUUGCCAGCAUUUAGUUGGGCACUCUAAGGUGACUGCCGGUGACAAACCGGAGAAGGUGGGGAUGACGUCAAAUCAUCAUGCCCCUUAUGACCUGGGCUACACACGUGCUACAAUGGAUGGUACAAAGGGCUGCAAGACUGCGAAGUCAAGCCAAUCCCAUAAACCAUUCUCAGUUCGGAUUGCAGG
rnacentral:rRNA from 1 species